UGAUAAUUUUGGGCAAUUUUU
rnacentral:piRNA from 1 species